rnacentral:tRNA from 1 species
UCCCUGAUAGCUUAGUUGGUAAAGAGUCUGCCUGCAAUGCAGGAGAUCCUGGUUCGAUUCCUGGGUCGGGAA